AUGAUCAUUAUAAUUGUUAUUUCGAUGCUUUUUGCAAUAUCAUGUAAUAGCUUUCUCGUGUUUUGUGCAAAAUUUAAAAAGGAAAAGAAGGAUACCACAUUGGAAAUCACUCCACCGGGAAUCACACCGCAACCGCAAUGUUCACGACAAUCGAGAAUGACAGAGGUUCAACAAAAACGAAAGGAGGUCGGAACGGAGUCAAGUCCAGUAAAGAACCAGAUUCCACGGAUGACGCUUUCAAAGAAAUGGCGAAACGUUUAACGAAAAAGGAUAGACCUGAGAAAACUGGAGAUUCAAUUGUUGGAGAGGACGACGAAAAUCCUCUUGCACAAUACCAGAUGCCUGAACGACCAGUCGUUCCACCAAAUCAGGAUGGUGCAACAUUGGAGAACAUUGUUGAAAUGGAAAAGAAGCCUGUCUCAAAACAACCAACAAUUCGAGCUUUAACUCCAUCAGGUGGUGCCAAGACUGCACAGCCGAUUUCAGUUGCUCAGCCGCCUCCUGUUCAACAGAAGUCCCAGAAAUCCAUUAUCCCGAAGAAAGAUAAAACUAUAACCACUGAUAAGACGCAAUCGGAUCCACGUAGCAGAGAGAUUGAGAGCACUCAGCAUGUGACCAAUGAAGAUGCAAUCGAUACUGGGAAAAAGGAACCUGCAAAAUCUGUGAGAAAAGAUUUGAUUUUGUCUACAAAAAACUGA
rnacentral:misc_RNA from 1 species